AUACGGAGGAUCCGAGCGUUAUCCGGAUUUAUUGGGUUUAAAGGGUGCGCAGGCGGCCAUUUAAGUCAGCGGUUAAAUCGUGAGGCUCAACCCCAUUCUGCCGUUGAUACUGGGUGGCUUGAUUGCGGUCGAGGUUGGCGGAAUUCGUUGUGUAGCGGUGAAAUGCAUAGAUAUGACGAAGAACACCGAUUGCGUAGGCAGCUGACCAGACCGCAAAUGACGCUCAUGCACGAAAGUGCGGGGAUCGAACAGGAUUAGAUACCUUGGUAGUCCGCACAGUAAACGGUGAAUACUUGUUUUCGGCGAUAUAAUGUCGGAGGCAAAGCGAAAGCGAUAAGUAUUCCACCUGGGGAGUACGCCGGCAACGGUGAAACUCAAAUGAAUUGGCGGGG
rnacentral:rRNA from 1 species